rnacentral:rRNA from 1 species
AGUGAACGCUGGCGGUAGGCCUAACACAUGCAAGUCGAACGGCAGCACAGUAAGAGCUUGCUCUUACGGGUGGCGAGUGGCGGACGGGUGAGGAAUACAUCGGAAUCUACUUUUUCGUGGGGGAUAACGUAGGGAAACUUACGCUAAUACCGCAUACGACCUACGGGUGAAGGCAGUGGAUCUUCGGACCUUGCGCGAUUGAAUUAGCCGAUGUCGGAUUAGCUAGUUGGCGGGGUAAAGGCCCACCAAGGCGACGAUCCGUAGCUGGUCUGAGAGGAUGAUCGGCCACACUGGAACUGAGACACGGUCCAGACUCCUACGGGAGGCAGCAGUGGGGAAUAUUGGACAAUGGGCGCAAGCCUGAUCCAGCCAUACCGCGUGGGUGAAGAAGGCCUUCGGGUUGUAAAGCCCUUUUGUUGGGAAAGAAAAGCAGCAGGUUAAUACCCCGCUGUUCUGACGGUACCCAAAGAAUAAGCACCGGCUAACUUCGUG